rnacentral:lncRNA from 1 species
GAAACAAAGUAAUUUUCUAUUCAAGGUAUUUCUGAUUCUCAACAGCUCAUUUUUCAUUCCUGCAAUCCCAUUCUCCAUGAAGUCAGGCUUCUUGGCAGGCCCAGACACAGUGAGAACAUGGUCAAGAGCUUAGAGCAGGUGGAAGCCAGUGCUUCGAGCCUCCCACAGUGGCCUCCGUUCCAUCCUACUCAAGAUCUUCAUUAAAAAUAGCACACUACAGGACAGAGUCAAUCUUUAAGUGCCUUUUCAGCCACGCUCUCAUUUCUCAUCAGCUCAACCUGAUGCUGUAAGUAGAAUCCGAAACAACUUUAGAUAUGUGGAUAUUUAAAGAAAAUGUUCCUGUUGACAUUUGAUUUUGCUGCACA